AAGAACAUCUGAAUUGAUAAAAGUUAUAACUUUUAUCAAUUCAGUAUUUUAUUUAUUUGAAACAAACUAAGAAAUAAAACAAUGUAAAUAUUUUCCACUAAUAGCAUGUAUGUUUAAAUGAAAGCUUUUCUUUAUUUAUAUUAUUUAUUUUAGCUUCAUCCUGAAGAUAAAGCUUGUGUGCGGUGUUGGUUAAGAGUGAGAACUAAGGAUAUUUCACUAAAUGAAGAUAUUCAAUCCGUUGAACCUAUAAUCAGCAGGAAAGUGAUAAUUCUGAACUGAUGUGUGCUGCAUGUGGUCAAAGUCUUACUCCCAACAACACUGCUUGUUUGUUGGAGCACCAGCAGACACCUUCGAUGAAUGAAGUUUGUGAAGUUUGCUGGGGCCAAGUAUGCAAUUUGAGCUUCUAUGUUCCAGAUGGUCUAUGUUGCUUCAAGCUAAAAUAAAGCCCUGCCACUCUUCUCCUAGAACUUAUUUUGUUUUCAUAGUUGCAGAAACAAAUAUGAAUAGCCGGGACACAAUCAAAAGUGAUUGCUGUAAUUGUAUUGUAGGUUUAAGAACAGUGGGAUGCUGCUCACAUAUUAUGAGCAUUCUUUGGUAUUUGAGUUAUGCUUGCUAUGAGGGUAUGACCCGACCUGCCCCUUUCUUGGAUGAAGUAAUAUUAAGAACCAAUCAAGUAAUUAUAGGAAAAUAAAGUAAAUGUAUUUCUACAAAAA